AAUCCAUCAUAUUCAUGUGAAAUUAUUUAAAAUGUCGUUUGUGAUAAAAACUAAUGGGAUUACUGAAACAGAAACAGCAGCUCGCAUUUUGCCAAGCAAAUAAAAUAAAUGGUUUAGCCCCAGUCACCUGUAUCGACGAAUGAUAUCACCCAAAGGAGGCCAUUCAAUUUACUGUGGAUUCCGAGGAAUCAAUUGAAUUGCAUCAAACGACUGUGCAUUUGGAAAUUAAAUUAGAAACAGUGUUUGCUGGAAGCCCUCUUAAUAGUUUACAACACGAUUUGAAAGCAACCAAGAAAGGGGACAAAGGUAAACUUUGCUCUUCCGAACUGAGUAUACGUUCAACUUGCAAAUAUUCUUUGCACAUACAAGACAGUCCAAUCGCAAUUUCGUUUAAGUAAUCGCGAGCCCGGCUCACUAAAUCCGCUCGUCUCUGAACUGCAAAUGAACGAUUUGUUCUGCGACACAAAAUCCAAGUAAGGUUGGUGUGGAUGUCGUACACAAGCUUCUGGCAAAACGCGUCUUUACGGCUUGUAAUUCUGGAGAAUUACCUAUUUGGAUAAAAGGAAUAUUUAUAGAUGAUCAGCCAUAUGCGGGUUAUGGUUUUAGUAUAGCUGAUUGUUUGUCGUUAAAAACGAACGGUAGACCUAGGAUUGAAAUUGUUUUCCAGCCGGAUUUCACUGUUACACGUAUUACGAAACCGUUUAUUUUACAACAUGUCAAUAGAUAACAUAAGAUAGAUUGCUUCUUCUGUGCGAUAAGACUUAACCACACAUCCCAAAAACGUUAAAAACACUGAAAUCAAUUGAACUGAACUGUGUGCUGCUUUGCUCCUUACAUCUAUCUAUAUGUGGACUUAUGAAAUGAACGGAGAAAACAAAUUCUUUCAUGCAUAGCAUCGUUAUUUCCGUAUACCUUUUAUGCGCGCUAAUGCUCCCGAAAACACUAAACGUGGUUUAUGGUACGCUCAUUUCGAUGGUCAAUGGAUAGCAAGACAAAUGGAUUACAUGCUGACAAAGCUCCUAUACUACUUACGGAAUGGAGCAGUUGAAUUUAAUCCGUUCUCUUUUAGUUAAAAAUUGGAAACAGCUUCAUUAAAAAUCUUGAAUACAAAUUUUACGACCACAAACGCUUUUUUUUCAAUUUUUUCACAAAACUCGUUAAAGCAAACCUAUAAAAGUGAAUAU